ACAGAAGCCCCAUCCCCACAGCCACAGGCACCAAGGCGAGAGAGAAAGAAAGAGCAGGGAGGCGGGCGAAGCGCAGGGAGAGAAGCAGAGAAGAAAUAUUCACCUUCCCGCCUCAUGCCCACUUUGAGGCACUUCUUGAGGCGGCAGUAUUGGCACUGGUUGCGGUGGUGCUGGUCGAUGGGACAGUUCCUGUUGGCACGGCAUGUGUGGCCAUGGAAUGGUGUAGCAGAUUGCUGCAGAUGGUUUCAAUAGUUCUGCUGAAUGCUCCUUGUUUGUGCCUGCAAGAGGAACUCAAGGCUUUAUGUAUGGCCAUUGCUGUGACCUAGUGUGAUGCUCUACUUUUCCACUGAACUCUGCUUGCUCUAACUGAGGACCUUAGCUAUAAUUUAGCCUUUUCUUUUUAUAUUAAGCUGUUGUUGAGGAAGGAGCUUUGGCAAUAGAAGAAACCAAGCAGCAGGUUAAUUUCCACUGUUGACACAACUGGAAACGGAUCCCUACUUUAUGCAUUGGAGAUGCUAUGAAGACUACUCUGUCUGAUGUUUCCCUAUUGGGAUAGUGAAGUAUGAUGCUUCAUUGGUUGAGUGUAUGCAAUCAAAGUAAGAGUGAAAAAGGAAGAUCUGAGGAGUGGGCAGAUGCCUGCCGGGUAAACUAUUUGUGGCAUAAACUUGAGGACCCCACAGGAAAGCCAGAUGUUGUCAUGUGCUUCUAACCACAAUUCUGCUAUUGAAUGGGGGAUUACUGGUCAGUGACUAGCCAAAAUGGUGAGCUUCAUGUGCUGAGAGAACUACCUAUCUCAAAAAAAUAAGGUGAAAGGGCUAGAGAGGUGGCAAAGUAGCACUGACUGAUCUCUCAGAGGAGAACGUGGAUUCAACUCCUAGCACCCACAUAGCAGCCAACAACCAUCUGUAACUCCAGUCUCAGGGGAUUUAGUGCCUUCUUAUAUCCUCAGUGAACACUGCACAUAUAUUGUGCAUAGACAUACAUUCAGUCAAACAAACACUCAGACACAUAAAAAUAAAUGAAAUCUCAAAAUAUUUUAAAAAGAUAAUGUGGAGGGUGAUUGAGGCCUUAUAUUAAUCUUUAGACUUUACAAAAUGAGUUUUACACACACACACACACAGAAAACACACAAACACACUAUAUGUACACACACAUAUAUACACUGACACACACACUUGAAAAAUUGUUAUUGCUUAAAAUUUUUUUGAUAACUUGUCUCAGAAUUUUUAUUAUUGAUUUUAUUAUNNNNNNNNNNNNNNNNNNNNNNNNNNNNNNNNNNNNNNNNNNNNNNNNNNNNNNNNNNNNNNAGUUCAUAAUUGUGAGAAUAAUUCUUUUAUGGUUGUGGUAAUAAAGUAUCAUUAUCUUCUUAGAUCUAAUGUAAGAUUCAAACUCUGACCCACUAACUUCCAAGUCCCUUCUUAAAAGUGCUGUAUUAAACUGCAUGAAGCU
ensembl:antisense